GAGAGUACCGCCCACAUCAAGAAUGUUCCGUCAGUCGCCUGGUUCUGAUUCGUCAGCUGAUGGUCUGACACCAAAUUAUUUUAAAGUAUCUGCUAGUGCUGAUGAUCUAACUUCUGGUGGUGAGGAUCGUAACUCUAUCCAUUCCUUUGGGUCUAAUCACAGUGGGGGAGGAGGAGGGGGUGGGGCUAAGAUUAAUUUUGAAUUAUCGGCAGCUGCUAACACCCAAAGCACCGUUGUCUGAUAAUAAGUACACAAUAAUACCCACUGAUAAUAAUUAAUAAUAAUAAUUAUGACUUGAUAUUGUGAUUAUAAUAUACUCUUUAUCAUUCUUCCUCUCUCUCUCUCUCUCUUUCUUGGAACUACUCGUGUUGUUUGCUUGUCUUAUUGCUUUAAUAACAUUAUUAUUAUUAUUAUUAUUAUUAUUAUUAUUAUUAUUAUUAUUAUUAUUAUUAUUAUUAUUGUUGCAUUUCUCAAGAGGUUAGAUCCACUCAUAGUGAUAUCCAGUGG